CCUACGGGAGGCAGCAGUGGGGAAUAUUGCACAAUGGGCGAAAGCCUGAUGCAGCGACGCCGCGUGAGUGAAGAAGUAUUUCGGUAUGUAAAACUCUAUUAGUAGGGAAGAAAAUGACGGUACGUGACUGUGCAGGCCUGGCGAACUACGAGCCAGAAGCCGCGGUAAUACGUCGGGGGCAAGCGUUAUCCGGAUUUUCUGGGGGUAAAGGGAGCGUAGGCGGGAGUGCAAGGCUGAAGUGAAAUCCCACGGCUUAACCGGGGAAGUGCAUUGGAAACUGGGCAGCUUGAGUGCAGGAGAGGAAAGCGGAAGUCCUAGUGUAGCGGUGAAAUGCGUAGAUAUUAGGAGGAACACCAGUGGCGAAGGCGGCUUACUGGACUGUAACUGACGUUGAGGCUCGAAAGCGUGGGGAGCAAACAGGAUUAGAUACCCGAGUAGUC
rnacentral:rRNA from 1 species